CAUGCAAGUCGAACGGUAACAGAAGAAGCUUGCUUCUUGCUGACGAGUGGCGCACGGGUGAGUAACGCGUGGAUAUCUGCCUAUUAGUGGGGGACAACUUGUGGAAACGCAAGCUAAUACCGCAUAAGCCCUACGGGGGAAAGCAGGGGACCUUCGGGCCUUGUGCUGAUAGAUGAGUCCGCGUCUGAUUAGCUAGUUGGUAAGGUAAAGGCUUACCAAGGCGAUGAUCAGUAGCUGGUUUGAGAGGAUGAUCAGCCACACUGGAACUGAGACACGGUCCAGACUCCUACGGGAGGCAGCAGUGGGGAAUAUUGCACAAUGGGGGAAACCCUGAUGCAGCGACGCCGCGUGUGGGAAGAAGGCCUUCGGGUUGUAAACCACUUUCAAUUGGGAAGAAGGGAUGAGAGUUAAUAACUUUCUGACUUGACGGUACCUUUAGAAGAAGCACCGGCUAAUUUCGUGCCAGCAGCCGCGGUAAUACGAAAGGUGCAAGCGUUGUUCGGAUUUACUGGGCGUAAAGAGAGUGUAGGUUGUUUAUUAAGUCGGAUGUGAAAUCCCGGGGCUCAACCUCGGAACUGCAUUCGAUACUGAUAGGCUAGAGUUUGGGAGGGGUAAGCGGAAUUCCGUGUGUAGCAGUGAAAUGCGUAGAUAUACGGAGGAACACCUGAGGCGAAGGCGGCUUACUGGACCAAUACUGACACUGAGACUCGAAAGCGUGGGUAGCAAACAGGAUUAGAUACCCUGGUAGUCCACGCCCUAAACGAUGUCAACUAGCCGUUGCGGGUAUCGACCCCUGCAGUGGCGAAGCUAACGCGAUAAGUUGACCGCCUGGGGAGUACG
rnacentral:rRNA from 1 species